rnacentral:rRNA from 1 species
GUCCACGCCGUAAACGAUGUCGACUGGGGGUGCGGCUGCCGUUAAGGCGGCUGCGCGCCGAAGCAUACGCGCAAGUCGACCGCCUGGGAACUACGAGCGCAAGCUUAAAACUCAAAGGAAUUGACGGGGGCCCGCACAAGCAGCGGAGCGUGUGGUUUAAUUCGAAGCAACACGCAGAACCUCACCCAGACUUGACAUGGACCUGCAAAUCGGUGAAAGCCGGCACCUUCGAGGGUGGUCCACAGAUGCUGCAUGGCUGUCGU